AUUGAACGCUGGCGGCAUGCUUUACACAUGCAAGUCGAACGGUAACAGGCCGCAAGGUGCUGACGUGCGGCGGACGGGUGGGUGAUGCAUCGGUGCGUGCCCAGCCGUGGGGUAUAAGUACACGACAGCGUAGCUCGUACCGCAUACGAUCUUAGCAUCAAAGGGGGGGACCGUGAGGCCUCGCGCCAUUGGAGCGGCCGAUGUCAGAUGAGGUAGUUGGUGGGGUAAAGGCUCACCGAGCCAACGAUCUGUAGCUGGUCUGAGAGGACGACCAGCCACACUGGGACUGAGACACGGCCCAGACUCCUACGGGAGGCAGCAGUGGGGAAUUUUGGACAAUGGGCGCAAGCCUGAUCCAGCAAUGCCGCGUGCAGGAAGAAGGCCUUCGGGUUGUAAACUGCUUUUGUACGGAACGAAACGGCUCUGGUUAAUACCCGGGGCUAAUGACGGUACCGUAAGAAUAAGCACCGGCUAACUACGUG
rnacentral:rRNA from 1 species